AUAGAGUUUAAUAUAUGUAGUAAUUAAUUGAGUUAAGAUUUAAUUUUUGGUUAUUAUGAAAUUUAUUUAGUUGGGGUGAUUAAGAGAUAAAUAAAACUCUUUUUGAAUUUUAAUAUUAUAAUUAGUUAUAUGAUCCAUAAUUAAUGAUUAUAAGAUUAAAUUACCUUAGGGAUAACAGCAUAAUUCUUUUUGAGAGUUCAUAUUGAAAAAAGAGCUUGUGACCUCGAUGUUGGAUUAGGAUUAGUUUUGGGUGCAGAUGUUCAAUAACUAGGUCUGUUCGACCUUAAAAAUCCUACA
rnacentral:rRNA from 1 species